GGCUUCCUGGCGCAAUGGUAGCGCGUUUGGCUUCGAACCAAAAGGUUGCAGGUUCGAGUCCUGCGGUNAAUCA
rnacentral:tRNA from 1 species